rnacentral:lncRNA from 1 species
AUUUUGGUGUUUCCCAGCAGAUUUUGGGGUUUCCCAGCAGCUUUUGGGUUAUUUUGGUGUUUCCCAGCAGAUUUUGGGGUCUCCCAGCAGAUUUUGGGGUUAUUUUGGGGUUUCCCAGCAGCUUUUGGGUUAUUUUGGUGUUUCCCAGCAGAUUUUGGGGUCUCCCAGCAGAUUUUGGGGUUAUUUUGGGGUUUCCCAGCAGCUUUUGGGUUAUUUUGGUGUUUCCCAGCAGAUUUUGGGGUCUCCCAGCAGAUUUUGGGGUCUCCCAGCAGAUUUUGGGGUCUCCCAGCAGAUUUUGGUGUGUUUUGCACCCAGCUUCGGGGUGGUUGUUUUGGGGUCCCCCCGGGGUUUGGGGCGCGGCCGUUUCGGGGUCUCCCCGCCGCCGCCGCUUUUGCCCAAAGCGGGCGUUUUUCCCCCCAAGCUGGAGCGGCGCUGCCUGGAGGGGCUGCGGGAGCCCCGAAAUCCCCGCGAUUCGCCCCAAAGCGCGCGGGGGGGGGAGGGGAGCCCCGGAGCCGCCCCCGUUCACCCCAAAUUCCCUCCCCUCCCCCCCCCGCAGGUGGCGGAGCAGCGGCGGGAAAAGUGGCACCGGAAAAAGUUCCUCCCCUCCCCCCCGCCAGGUUUGGACCUUUCCAAGAUGGUGGCGCUGAUGGGGGGCGGGGCCAGCGCCGCGGGGGGCGUGGCCUCGCCCUCAAUGGCCCCGCCCCCUCGCUUCCGGCCAGAAGCGGAAGCAGAAGAGGAGGAAGAAGAGGAGGAGGAAGGAACCGGAAGUGGGUGCUGCCCCCUGCUGGCCGACCCCAUGUUAGCGCCCACCUCCGACUCGGAUUAGGCCCCGCCCCUCCCGCCGGGGCCACGCCCCCUCCCGUAUUUAUAUAAAUAUGUAAAUGACCUGGGCCGGGGGGCGGGGCGGGGGGGGCGGGGCUUGGGGGUGGGCGGGGCUGCGGGGGAGCUUCGGGGGUUUUUGGGUGUUUUUUUUUUUAAUAAAAGGUUUGGAAACGGAGCCGUGCUGUGCUUU